rnacentral:SRP_RNA from 1 species
GCCAGGUGUGGUGAUGCAAGCCUGUAAUCCCAGAUACUGGAGAGAUGUAGUUAGUGGAUGGCUUGAGUACAGGAGUUCUAAGCUGAAGUGUAUCGAAAGUCUGCGGGCUGUCUACACUAAGUCCAGCACCAAUAUGAUGAUCUCUUCUUUGGGAGAGGAAGGCCACCAGGCUGCCGGAGGGCUGAACCAGUCCAGGUUGGAAAUGGAGCAGGUCAAAGCUUGUAUGCUCAUCAAUAAUGAGAUCAAGCCUUUGAGUAGCUGCUGAAUCUUCAACCUGGGUGAGAUAGAGAGAUCAAGUCUCC